UACAGAGGGUGCAAGCGUUAAUCGGAAUUACUGGGCGUAAAGGGUGCGUAGGUGGUUAGAUAAGUUAGGUGUGAAAGCCCCGGGCUUAACCUGGGAAUUGCGCCUAAUACUGUUUAGCUAGAGUACUGUAGAGGAAGGUGGAAUUUCCGGUGUAGCGGUGAAAUGCGUAGAUAUCGGAAGGAACAUCAGUGGCGAAGGCGACUUUCUGGACAGAUACUGACACUGAGGCACGAAAGCAUGGGGAG
rnacentral:rRNA from 1 species